GCAACCUCGACCUUAGUUGCCAGCAUUCAGUUGGGCACUCUAAGGUGACUGCCGGCUAAAGUCGGAGGAAGGUGGGGAUGACGUCAAAUCAUCAUGCCCCUUAUGACCUGGGCUACACACGUGCUACAAUGGGCGGUACAAAGGGUCGCGAACCCGCAGGGGGAGCCAAUCCCAAAAAGCCGCUCUCAGUUCGGAUUGCAGGCUGCAACUCGCCUGCAUGAAGCCGGAAUCGCUAGUAAUCGCGGAUCAGCAUGCCGCGGUGAAUACGUUCCCGGGCCUU
rnacentral:rRNA from 1 species